rnacentral:tRNA from 1 species
GGCGGUGUAGCUUAGUUGGCUAGAGCGUUCGGUUCAUACCCGAAAGGUCGGGGGUUCAAAUCCCUCCGCCGCUACCA